GAGGAUAGUCGAGUGCUUAGGCUGUUUGACUUCCAUCCCAAAGUUUCUGGGUUCAAUCCCCAGUUUCCUCA